GUUUCGAUCUGUUGCGGGCAGAUAUAGUGAAUGUGGGUAUCGAUUCCUCCUGCAGUCACGAUAUAACCUUUUCCUCCAUGAACUUCUGUGGAAGCACCGAUAAUCAUGUUCGGAGAAACGUCGUCCAUUGUGUCAGGGUUCCCGGCUUUUCCGAUGCCUACAAUCUUACCGUCUUUGAUUCCGAUAUCUCCUUUUACGAUUCCCCAAUGGUCAAUGAUCACUGCUCCGGUAAUGCAGAGAUCCAGAACACCUUCAUCUCUUUUCGCGGUAACGUUCUGGCCCAUUCCGUCACGAAC
rnacentral:sRNA from 1 species